GAUGAAGAACGUAGCGAAAUGCGAUAAGUAAUGUGAAUUGCAGAAUUCAGUGAAUCAUCGAAUCUUUGAACGCACAUUGCGCCCGCCAGUAUUCUGGCGGGCAUGCCUGCCUGAGCGUCAUUUCAACCCUCAUGCCCCUAGGGCGUGGUGUUGGGGAUCGGCCAAAGCCCGCGAGGGACGGCCGGCCCCUAAAUCUAGUGGCGGACCCGUCGUGGCCUCCUCUGCGAAGUAGUGAUAUUCCGCAUCGGAGAGCGAUGAGCCCCUGCCGUUAAACCCCCAACUUUCCAAGGUUGACCUCAGAUCAGGUAGGAAUACCCGCUGAACUUAAGCAUAUCAAUAAGCGGAGGA
rnacentral:misc_RNA from 1 species